rnacentral:rRNA from 1 species
AUGGAGCGACUACACCAGUUCUUCUUAACACCUGAUGUUAAUGCCAUUGCAAGUAUCCCUCCGUGUACUAAAAACUUGGAUGAUUUAUGGGCUUGGAAUUAUGAAAGAAACGGUGUUUUUACCGUUCGUUCAUCAUACCGCAUGCUAGUAGACACUAAAAGAAGGAGGGAAGACUGGUUGGAAAACAAUGUGGGACGUUCAAAUUACGAGGAGGAGGGCAAGGCGUGGUCCUCUCUGUGGUUAGUUCAGGUCCCAGGAAAAAUCCGUAAUUUUCUUUGGAGGUUGGCAAAGCAGUCAAUUCCCACCGAGGAUGUUCGCCAUAAGAGAAAUAUGUCAAAUGUUGAUAAGUGCCACUUGCGUGGUGUUCAGGACUCAUGGCGGCAUUCUCUUUUGGACUGUUUGAUGGCGAGCCUAUCACACCCGAAACUGAUAGAGACAGUGGUUACUUUGUGGGCAAUUUGGACAGCAAGGAGAAAAGCAAUCCAUGAGGGCGAGCUCCAGAACCCACACGCCACACACUCUUUUGUGGUAAGAUUCAUUGAUGAACUUGAUUCAAUAAAAAUGCAAGAGAGAGCGCAGGUGAGAGCUGCGAACGGGAAUUCCAGAAACACUCAGCCCCGCCAACAAUGGAGAGCUCUGGGACCGGGUAUAUCAAAGAUUCAAGUUGAUGAAGGUCUAGCAAGAAGCGGAGAGAGGGGAGCGGCUGCAGCAGUUUGCAUAGAUCAUGAUGGUGUGUUCUUAGGAUAUUCUGCUAUGGUCUUCACUAAAAUUGUUGAUCCAGCUACACUCGAAGCUUUCGCGUGUCGGGAAGCCUUAUCUCUUGCGCUUGAUCUGGCGGUGGACAAGAUUAUUAUCGCAUGCGAUUCCCUUCCGCAAGUGAUCUUUGCGGGGCUCCUGAACGAGCGAUCGUCAACUAGUUACUUCCCCCAGCCUGCCAAGGGACCUCCUAUCAGGCGGGUAGCGCAAGCGGUGAUGGCGUGUGGUAUGGGGCACCCCAGGGCGGCGGAUACGCCAUCCCGCCGAAUUCCGGCGCCGGUGGGCCAGACGGCGAGGUUGGAGGCAGUGGCGACACGGAAGAGCAGCCCUAGUAGAGAAAAAAAGGAGAGCGGAGACGGCGGCAGGGGCAGGCAGCCGGCUUCGUCGCCGGCGAGGGUAAGGGUAGAAGAACCCCUCCUCCCAGCGGUGCGGCGACAGGACCUCCCUGCCCGGCCAAGCACCUCCCCCUCUCUCGCCGCGAAGCAGAACCCCCCGGCGGGCGGCGACGGCGAGGGCACUUUAUCUGCUGGGACAACUAAAUCGUGGCCUCUUCUCUAUCGGGGGACCAACCUGGACGCAAGGCCGAAUAGCAUCGGGCAUAAAGCGCGCACUAACGCGCCGGCCUCCACCAACCUCCCAUCCAAAAAGAAAAAAACUAGGCCACAUCUACCCCCUAAUCUAACACCCGUGCCCUCCACCAUCACUCCGCCGCCGUCGCCUUCCCCGACCACCCCCAGUAGCCGGAGCAGCGGAUGGAGGGGGCGGAGAUCACCGGCUCGAUGGCGUCCAAGGAAGGAUAGGAACCACUCGCUCCUCUAUCGCCUAAGGGAAGAGAGCCUGGGAGGGGAUCCACGGGUCUCGCUUGGCCUCAGUCUGCGUUGUGGCCCAGUGAAGCCGGCCCAAGGCAGGCAAGGCAAAAAUAUUAGUUUUCGUUUGGAAUCAAGCUGGCGACCUCCCUCCCCGUCCAGGUAUCAAGGAGCUGACUUAGGAAUCAAUAAGCCAAGGAUACAUGGUGGACCAAACGGUGAUUUUGCUGCGGCGCCACCGCGGUGCUCUUCACCGACGCAGCCGUCCGUGAGCGGCUCCACCUCCUGGCCAUCGUCUUGUGCCGGCCCCGAACCUAGGGUUCCAGCACGGUCACUUCCUCCGAGUCCAAGCCUCCAAGGUGUACGGCCUCGACUACAAUUUUACAGGUAA